CUGGGACGCUUGAUUCUAUGCUUGGGAAAGGAGGAUGCAAGGGAACUCUUUCCAAGGUCCAAUUCCUUCAAGCUUUGCUAAUCUCACGAAAUUGACUGAUUUAAGGAUUGGAGACCUCUCAGUUCAGGGAUCUUCU